rnacentral:rRNA from 2 species
AGUGAAGCGGGAACAGCUCAAAUUUGAAAUCUGGCCCUUGGGUCCGAGUUGUAAUUUGCAGAGGAUGCUUUUGGUGCGGUGCCUUCCGAGUUCCCUGGAACGGGACGCCUUAGAGGGUGAGAGCCCCGUACGGUUGGACACCAAGCCUAUGUAAAGCUCCUUCGACGAGUCGAGUAGUUUGGGAAUGCUGCUCAAAAUGGGAGGUAUAUUUCUUCUAAAGCUAAAUAUUGGCCAGAGACCGAUAGCGCACAAGUAGAGUGAUCGAAAGAUGAAAAGCACUUUGAAAAGAGGGUUAAAUAGCACGUGAAAUUGUUGAAAGGGAAGGAUUUAUGACCAGACUUUUUCUAGGGGAAUCAUCCGGUGUUCUCACCGGUGCACUUCCCCUAGUUGAGGCCAGCAUCGGUUUCUGUCGAGGGAUAAAAGCUUUAGGAAUGUGGCACCCUCCGGGGUGUGUUAUAGCCUGUUGCAUAAUACCUUGACGGGGACCGAGGUUCGCGCAUUGCAAGGAUGCUGGCGUAAUGGUUAUUAAUCACCCGUCUUGAAACACGGACCAAGGAGUCGAACAUUUGUGCGAGUGUUUGGGUGUUAAACCCUCACGCGUAAUGAAAGUGAACGGAGGUGAGAGCCUUUAGGGGUGCAUCAUCGACCGAUCCUGAUGUCUUCGGAUGGAUUUGAGUAAGAGCAUAACUGUUCGGACCCGAAAGAUGGUGAACUAUGCGUGGAUAGGGUGAAGCCAGAGGAAACUCUGGUGGAGGCUCGCAGCGGUUCUGACGUGCAAAUCGAUCGUCAAAUCUGCGCAUGGGGGCGAAAGACUAAUCGAACCAUUGACCAGCGGUCAAAACAAUCACUAGGUGGUUAAGAGGGGGUCCGCGAGGACCAUUUGAAAAACCUAGGUUGUGUCCGGUUACCCUGUAGGCUACCCUGUAGCUUACCCGGUACCGGUCCGGCCGACACCGCUAAAAUGCGGGGACAUCCCUUUACAGGGCCAAAGGCUACCGCCACGCGCUGAAAAGCGUGCUGGCACCGAGGAUAGUGACCUCGGGUACGGGCUGAAAAGCGUGCUGGCACCGAGGACCCCGCCUAGGGGAGAGUUCACAGACUAAACAGCGGUGGGUUGGCAGUGCCUCUC